rnacentral:rRNA from 1 species
UACAUGGGGUGCAAACGUUGCUCGGAAUUACUGGGCGUAAAGCGCACGUAGGCGGCCUUGUAAGUUAGAGGUGAAAGCCCGGGGCUCAACUCCGGAAUUGCCUUUAAGACUGCAUCGCUAGAAUUGUGGAGAGGUAAGUGGAAUUCCGAGUGUAGAGGUGAAAUUCGUAGAUAUUCGGAAGAACACCAGUGGCGAAGGCGACUUACUGGACACAUAUUGACGCUGAGGUGCGAAAGCGUGGGGAGCAAACAGG